rnacentral:rRNA from 1 species
AUUGAACGCUGGCGGCAUGCCUUACACAUGCAAGUCGAACGGCAGCACGGGGCAACCUGGUGGCGAGUGGCGAACGGGUGAGUAAUGCAUCGGAACGUACCUUUCAGUGGGGGAUAACGUAGCGAAAGUUACGCUAAUACCGCAUAUUCUGUGAGCAGGAAAGCAGGGGAUCGCAAGACCUUGCGCUGAUUGAGCGGCCGAUGUCAGAUUAGCUAGUUGGUGAGGUAAAGGCUCACCAAGGCGACGAUCUGUAGCGGGUCUGAGAGGAUGAUCCGCCACACUGGAACUGAGACACGGUCCAGACUCCUACGGGAGGCAGCAGUGGGGAAUUUUGGACAAUGGGGGCAAACCUGAUCCAGCCAUGCCGCGUGAGUGAAGAAGGCCUUCGGGUUGUAAAGCUCUUUCGGCUGGGAAGAAAUCGCACGGGCUAAUACCCUGUGUGGAUGACGGUACCGGAAUAAGAAGCACCGGCUAACUACGUGCCAGCAGCCGCAGUAACAC